rnacentral:rRNA from 1 species
UAGGGAAUAUUAGAAAUGGGCGAAAGCCUGAUCUAGCGACACCGCGUGUGCGAUGAAGGCCUUCGGGUUGUAAAGCACUUUUUGGAAGGAAUAGGAAGGAAGGUACUUCCAGAAUAAGUCUCGGCUAACUACGUGCCAGCAGCCGCGGUAACACGUAGGAGGCAAACGUUAUCCGGAUUUACUGGGCGUAAAGCGCGUGUAGGUGGUUUUGUAAGUAGGGCGUGAAAGCUCCUGGCUCAACUGGGAGAGGCCGUUCUAAACUGCAGAACUAGAGGAUGGUAGAGGGAGGUGGAAUUCCGGGUGUAGCGGUGGAAUGCGCAGAUAUCCGGAGGAACACCAGUGGCGAGGGCGGCCUCCUGGGCCAUUCCUGACACUCAGACGCGAAAGCUAGGGUAGCAAACGGG